GUCCAGGGGCGGGAAUCGAACCCACACCCUUCUGCUUACCGGGCCUUGUCCACUCGGCUACCCUGGA